rnacentral:rRNA from 1 species
GCAGGUCAGCAUACUGCCGUGAAUACGUUCCCGGGCCUUGUACACACCGCCCGUCACACCAUGAGAGUUGGAGAUACCCGAAGUCGGUAGUCUAACCGCAAGGAGGACGCCGCCGAGGGUGGGGUUGAUGAUUAGGGUUAAGUCGUAACAAGGUACC